rnacentral:rRNA from 1 species
GAUGAACGCUAGCGGCAGGCUUAAUACAUGCAAGUCGAGGGGCAACAGGGGUAGUGAUACCUGCUGGCGACCGGCAAACGGGUGCGCAACACGUACAGAACCUUCCUUUAAGCGGGGGAUAGCCCAGAGAAAUUUGGAUUAAUACCCCAUAGUAUAAUUGUCUGGCAUCAGAUGGUUAUUAAAGAUUUAUCACUUAGAGAUGGCUGUGCGUCUGAUUAGGAGUUGGUGCAGGUAAAGGCUCACCAAGCCUUCGAUCAGUAACUGGUGUGAGAGCACGACCAGUCACACGGGCACUGAGACACGGGCCCACUCCUACGGGAGGCAGCAGUAAGGAAUAUUGGUCAAUGGAGGCAACUCUGAACCAGCCAUGCCGCGUGAA